GACGAACGCUGGCGGCGUGCUUAACACAUGCAAGUCGAACGGAAAGGCCCUUCGGGGUACUCGAGUGGCGAACGGGUGAGUAACACGUGGGUGAUCUGCCCUGCACUUUGGGAUAAGCCUGGGAAACUGGGUCUAAUACCGGAUAGGACUACGCGAUGCAUGUCGUGUGGUGGAAAGCUUUUGCGGUGUGGGAUGGGCCCGCGGCCUAUCAGCUUGUUGGUGAGGUUAUGGCUUACCAAGGCGACGACGGGUAGCCGGCCUGAGAGGGUGACCGGCCACACUGGGACUGAGAUACGGCCCAGACUCCUACGGGAGGCAGCAGUGGGGAAUAUUGCACAAUGGGCGCAAGCCUGAUGCAGCGACGCCGCGUGAGGGAUGACGGCCUUCGGGUUGUAAACCUCUUUCAGCAGGGACGAAGCGCAAGUGACGGUACCUGUAGAAGAAGGACCGGCCAACUACGUGCCAGCCGCCGCCGUAACAC
rnacentral:rRNA from 1 species